rfam:Salmo salar isolate Sally breed double haploid chromosome ssa14, whole genome shotgun sequence.
UGCACUCACUACUGUAAGUCGCUCUGGAUAAGAGUGUCUGCUAAAUGACGUAAA